rnacentral:rRNA from 1 species
GGCGUGCUUACACAUGCAAGUCGAACGAUGAAGCUGGAGCUUGCUCCGGCGGAUUAGUGGCGAACGGGUGAGUAACACGUGAGCAAUCUGCCCUUGACUCUGGGAUAACUGCGGGAAACUGUAGCUAAUACCGGAUACUUUCCUCGCUGGGCAUCCAGCGGGGAAGAAAGAAUUUCGGUCAAGGAUGAGCUCGCGGCCUAUCAGCUAGUUGGUGAGGUAAUGGCUCACCAAGGCGACGACGGGUAGCCGGCCUGAGAGGGUGACCGGCCACACUGGAACUGAGACACGGUCCAGGCUCCUACGGGAGGCAGCAGUGGGGAAUAUUGCACAAUGGGCGAAAGCCUGAUGCAGCAACGCCGCGUGAGGGAUGAAGGCCUUCGGGUUGUAAACCUCUUUUAGCAGGGAAGAAGCGAAAGUGACGGUACCUGCAGAAAAAGCACCGGCUAACUACGUGCCAGCAGCCGCGGUAAUACGUAGGGUGCAAGCGUUGUCCGGAAUUAUUGGGCGUAAAGAGCUCGUAGGCGGUUUGUCACGUCUGCUGUGAAAUUCCGAGGCUCAACCUCGGACUUGCAGUGGGUACGGGCAGGCUAGAGUGCGGUAGGGGAGAAGGGAAUUCCUGGUGUAGCGGUGGAAUGCGCAGAUAUCAGGAGGAACACCAAUGGCGAAGGCACUUCUCUGGGUCGUAACUGACGCUGAGGAGCGAAAGCGUGGGGAGCGAACAGGAUUAGAUACCCUGGUAGUCCACGCCGUAAACGGUGGGUGCUAGCUGUGGGCCACAUUCCACGUGGUCCGUGACGAAGUUAACACAUUAAGCACCCCCGCCUGGGGAGUACGGCCGCAAGGCUAAAACUCAAAUGAAUUGACGGA